rnacentral:misc_RNA from 1 species
UCUGUGCAAGGAAGAAUUCCUACUCGACCCAGUCUCCCUCUGGAUCCCAGAUACGCCUGGACUUUGGACACCAUUGAGUGAUUUUUGAUGCCAAGAAGAACCACCAAUGACCUUGUUUGCAGUCAUUGAAACAGCAGUAGAGCUCCUAGCAUCCUCCUUUACUGAAUGCCCCCCAGCUUUGGCAUGGUCACUGGAGCAAGAUUGACUAUUGUUGUGUGACUGACUAGAACUGCUGCUUUUC